GGAUGAACGCUGGCGGCGUGCCUAAUACAUGCAAGUCGAGCGGUAAGGCCACUUCGGUGGUACACGAGCGGCGGACGGCUGAGUAACGCGUAGGAACAUACCCCAAACUGAGGGAUAAGCACCAGAAAUGGUGUCUAAUACCGCAUGUGGUCCAAGGACUAAAGCUCCGGCGGUUUGGGAAUGGCCUGCGUAAGAUUAGCUUGUUGGUGAGGUAAUGGCUCACCAAGGCGACGAUCUUUAAGCUGGUCUGAGAGGAUGACCAGCCAGACUGGGACUGAGACACGGCCCAGACUCUUACGGGAGGCAGCAGUAGGGAAUUUUCCACAAUGGGCGAAAGCCUGAUGGAGCAACGCCGCGUGCAGGAUGAAUGUCUUCGGAUUGUAAACUGUC
rnacentral:rRNA from 1 species